rnacentral:lncRNA from 1 species
CCAUCAACCACUCAACACAUUCAAUUAUUAUAUAUUAAACCUUUAAAAAUUAAUCUUAACAAAACAAUAAAAGAGAGAGAAAUGGAGAAGGUUUUGAGUUCAUGUUUUAUUAUUGUCUUCUUAGUUCUCGCUUCUGGUACGUUGUAGCUAAUUGAUAUUUUAUAAGUACCAUUGUAAAUAGUUUUUAAUAUUAGAUUGUUUGCAGGUGUGACAGCGAGCAUGGGAGAAUUAGAAGGGAAAACGGAUGGCAUAAUUCCAAAAUGCAAAUGUCCUCCUUCACCAUGUCAUUGCUUUUAUGGAAUCUGCUUAUGCCCAGCGGGGCCAAGGCUGCCGGUGCCGGAGUCGCAAACAACGCAUUCUUAAACCUUAUUAAUCGUAUACAAGGGAUUAUUGGUUACAAGUUUUUCUUUUAUUAUGCUUCUUUUUAGUUUGUUACUCAAUGAUUAUUAUAAAUUAAUAAUAAUAACAAUUUAAUAUAUGUGGAUGCU